GCGUGAAAUAUACGUGUUAUGUGUAAAAUUUUCACGUGAAAAAUCACCUAAAGAACACGCGAUUGUAAACUAUCGUAAUAUAUUGUUAGUGUGUAAAAAUACGUGUUUAGUGUAAUCCACUGUAGUGAUUUUAAAUAGUUACAUAUAUGAAGUGUAUUGUAGUAAGUUUCUUAAAUGUUCCUAGUGGUUUUAUAAUAAUUUAGUAAUAUUUCCCCAGUUGUAAUUGUAUAUAGUAGUGUUUGUGUGUGUAUUGAACUUACUGCGGUUGUCGUAGACAUUCACAGCUGAUAUUCCCGGGCUUAUUAAAGGUAGUCUCGGGGAUUUGCUUGCAGCUGAUAAAACUGCUCCCGG